UCCAUCGUCUAAUCUCAGAUUCCAAUCCUAGUCUCAGUAUAACAGUGAUCUUUAAAACUGAUGAUAAUAACACUGUAGGAUACAAUUAGUAUUGUUAAAUUAGAAUUUAUUGAUAUACCAUAGUUAAAAUAAGGAUGGUUUUCAGCUUUGGUCAGUAUACAGAAGUUCCCGCCCAGAUCUCUGGGCAAGAUACAGUCAUCAGAACCGUGAUGGACUUUAUCAAAAAUGUCAGCUAAAAUAUCAUCCCAUUAUUUUCUAAGAGUCUUUUUUUUUUUUAAUGUAUGAGCGUUUUGGCCACAUAUAUGUCUGGGUAUCACAAGUGUGCCUGGUGCUCAGAGAGUUCAGAAGAGGCCGUUGGAUUCUCUGGAACUGGAAUUAUAGAUGGUUUUGAGCCCCCAUGUGGGUGCUGGGAAUCAAACCCAGAUCCCCUAAAAGAAAAGCCAGUGUUUUCAACUGCUGAGCCAUGUCUCCAGCCCCCCUCCCAAAUUACUUAAAGUCUGUUAUAAAUGACUUUAUUGAGGGUGAGGCAGCACAAACCUUUAAUCCCAGCAUUCAGGAGGCAGAGGCAGACAGGUAUCUGUGAGUCUGAUGCUGGACUCAUUUACAUAGUGAGCUCCUGGCCAGUCAUAGCUAGACAGUGAGAUUCUGUCUCAAGAACAUAGAUACUAAUUAAUAAUUAAAGACGGAAAGAAAGAAAAAGAACUCCCAUACUGUUUUCAGGUCUGAAUUUCAUCAACCUUAUAAAAAAAAUUUCUGCCUCUUACAUUUAAAAAUUUUAAACAACAAUAUUAAGCAUGGUGAACAUUGAUUCUUAAAAUCAGUCGACUAGCUAACCUGAUCAUGAGUCCCCCUACUUGUAUUUGAUUAGGUAUAAAAUGAAACCAGCUGCGAUGUUUUAAAGCCAUGAAUGGCAUCAAGAAAUAUCAUGCAAACCAAUUCAACUGUUUAUAAACCGAGGAUUCCUGUGGGACCCAGUGCCCUGACUUGAUGUUUUUUUUUUUUUUAAAUGAGAAGAGUCAAGCUCUGUUCAGACUUGAAUUAUGCACUUUGCAUAAGCCAUGCCAUUUAACUUUAACCCACAGGCCUGGAGAUAAAAUUAGCUCCUCCUGCAGAAUACAGAGGCCAUGGGCAAGCAAGAGCAUAAGUCAGAGGAAGACGUCUGCAGCCCUGCUCUGGUCUCUAGCUUGUCCUUGCCGAAUUGUUUUGGGAACCUUGUGUUUGACUUGUCAGAGCCUACAGUUUUCAUCGGAGGAAAAGGGAUUCUCAUUUAAGCUGAUGUCUGUGCAUAUUCCCCGAGGAUGAGUGAGGGGCCUGCCAUUCUUUUAAAAUCCUAAGCAAAUGUAUAUCUUUGCCACUUGUAAUCGUGAUAAAGCUUAAAUAAUUCAGGCAUGAGCAUGGCUUUUGCUAUGCCCAGUAUAAAACAAGAUUUAUUAGUGGACAGCAUCUACCCAGACUCAUUCCCUAGAAUAUUUACAGCUAGAAUUCAUGUUCGUUCAAACCAUGUAGGCUUGGUAAAUAUAUCAUUUGCUCACUGUUUGAGACAUCACAAAAUAACAUCCAAUAUCUGUCUUUUUGUUCAUUUUGACAAAGAGUAAACAAGGAUGCCCAAGAGAGAGGUGUGGAAACUCUUAGACCUGGCACCUCGUUGUAAGGAGUAUAAGUGUGGGACCCAACCACAGCUUCCACCCUUCCCUAUAAAGCCAUGGUUCUCAACCUGCUGCAUAUCAGAUAUCCUGCAUAGCAGACAUUUACAUUAUGAUUCAUAACAGUAACAAAAUUACAGUUGUGAAGUAGCAACAAAAGUAAUUUACGGUUGAGGGUCACCACUACACGAGGAACUGAAUUAAAAGGGUCGCACACGGCAUCAGGAAGGCUGAGAGCCGAGGCUAUAAAGGAAUGUACACUGUUCACUCACUCGUCUCCAGGGAACCUGGGAUGGAUGACCGCUGCUGUCACUGUCAUUUAUUAUCCCAGACUGAGGAGGCACUCACUGGGCUCAGUAGUCACCACUGAUUCUGUAUCUUGAUAGUAGGUUGUGAACCUGUAACGUGAAUGUCCAGCCUUCAGAUGUCAUUCAUGGGACUAUCUCAACAGGCUGUGUGUGUCCCAUGCCAAGCUAUUUCCUUUAACUUUCUACUCAUCUUGAAGGGAUCCUAUACCUACUGCAUUGCAAGCUCUCUCCAAGAAGAGGAUAUGACUGUAUUCACUCCAGCUGACUUCCUUCCUUAGCACAAGGACUGUUUGAUUUGCAGAAGCAGACGAUUUAUUCGACGAUUCAUUCACCGUGCAGCCGCACUGCCUAAGUGCAUGGAAUGCCUUCGACUGCCUGGUUGCAGAAUUUGGAGUUUGCUAAGCAGUGGUUAGUGAUUGGGCUCAUCUUGCAUCACCAGUUGAUGACAUUUUUCUUUGUUCCCUCCUACCCAGUUGAACCAAGACUCUGAGGCUGAUAUGCAAUGUCACUUACAACAUUAAUCAGAUACUGCAUUUAAGGUAGGAGGCAAGGUGGACUCUAUUUUUAACUCACAGGCACUGCGCCCUGUGCAAGCAACUCCGGUUCUCACGUUCGUAUUCGCAGAGCCGGUCUCAGUGGUUUGAUUUUCAGCAAAUGUGACAGUGGCCUUUGCAGUGGUCAGCUCUGAGCUUUGAACUCUCAGAGGAGUAAGGGAGAGAGAAAAAAAAAUUCAGCCCAGCACCUCCUUGGUGGCAGCCUCAGAGAAUCCUUGGAUAAGGAACUUAGUUUUUUCAGUCCCUGUUUUGCCGUUGAUAAAUUCAGUCCUCGUGAUCACAGGCUUUCAAGCUGUUCAGCGUACAAUUUUUGGUGUGUGUGACAACCGCAUCUCUAAAACUUGUGAGCAAGAAGACGGAGAAAUCAGUCGGUCUCCAUCGCCUUGCAUAAAGAUGGCCGAGGGUCUUGUCAUGCUAGCAGGUCUCUGAGUGGUGCGUACAGACCAGCAUCAUUAACGAUUGCAGAAGCAUGGGACCCAUUGUCACUCGCUCUUGGACAAAUAGUGAGCUCACCGUUUAGAGUUAAAACACUUGCUGUGCAGAAAGAUCCGAACAGAAUGCCUUCCAUCUUGAUAGGCCAGCACAGAUCAAUCAUUUCCAGUGAAGUUGCAUCUUAACUGCAAGACCCGAUGGAUGAACUGCAGUUGUUCUAGCAUGAAUGGAUGCCUGAUAGAUCUCAUGCUCGUAUCGUAGACUCUCCAUCCUUUUGUUUUCAACCUAAGCAUGGCUACCGUCAUCUUGUAGCUUUUCAUAGCUAAUGGUUUUUUUUUUUAAUGACAUUAUUCAUUUGUGUUGCUCUUAGUCAUGCCUAACAGAAUUUCAAAUAUAAUCCACAGAGCCAGAAAACCAAACAAAACUAUUGGGAAAUACACAGAACCAUUAUCACCCUAAUAAACAGGCGACUGAAUGGGAGAAUUAUUAUUUAUUGCGUUGUUGUGUGUCGCUUAGUGCGAUGUUUGCCAAGACAUAAAGCUUUUCUAAACUUACCCAUUUACAAUUAUUAUUGGAUUUCCUAGAUUAGCUGAAAUGAGGGAAAAUGGUGCUUACCCCUCCGUGUUUAACCGACGAGGUAGGCUUAACUCAUUUACACAUUUUGGCUGAGGUGCUUGCAUUGGGCAGGCCAGAGCAGGCGUGAGAGGAAGAAUGUGCAAACGGC
ensembl:lncRNA